rnacentral:rRNA from 1 species
GACGAACGCUGGCGGCGUGCUUAACACAUGCAAGUCGAACGGUGAAGCGCCUUCCUUUUUGGUGGGUGUGGAUGAGUGGCGAACGGGUGAGUAACACGUGAGUAACCUGCCCCCUUCUUCUGGAUAACCGCAUGAAAGUGCGGCUAAUACGGGAUAUUCUGGGUCUGUCGCAUGAUGGGUCUGGGAAAGAUAUUGUUUCGGUGGGGGAUGGGCUCGCGGCCUAUCAGCUUGUUGGUGGGGUGAUGGCCUACCAAGGCGGUGACGGGUAGCCGGCCUGAGAGGGUGGACGGUCACACUGGGACUGAGACACGGCCCAGACUCCUACGGGAGGCAGCAGUGGGGAAUAUUGCACAAUGGGCGCAAGCCUGAUGCAGCGACGCCGCGUGAGGGAUGGAGGCCGUCGGGUUGUGAACCUCUUUCGCCAGUGAAGCAGGCCUGCCUCGUUUGUGGGUGGGUUGACGGGAGCUGGAUAAGAAGCGCCGGCUAACUACGU